CCUACGGGUGGCAGCAGUAGGGAAUAUUGCUCAAUGGGGGAAACCCUGAAGCAGCAACGCAGCGUGGAGGAUGAAGGUUUUCGGAUUGUAAACUCCUUUUAUUAGGGAAGUAAAAUACUGUAUCUGACGAAUAAUCACCGUCUAACUUCGUGCCAGCAGCCGCGGUAAUACGGAGGGUGCAAGCGUUAUUCGGAAGUACUGGGCGUAAAGAGAGCGUAGUAGGAAUAGCAAGUCAGAUGUGAAAUCCUAUGGCUCAACCAUAGAACUGCAUUUGAAACUGUCAGUCUAGAGUACAGUAGAGGUAGGCGGAAUUCUUGGUGUAGCGGUGAAAUGCGUAGAGAUCACGAAGAAUACCGAUUGCGAAGGCGGCUUACUGGACUGUAACUGACGCUGAGGCGCGAAAGCGUGGGGAGCAAACAGGAUUAGAUACCCUUGUAGUC
rnacentral:rRNA from 1 species